CUUACUCCAGAGCUUGCGUUGUAGUUGAGAGGAGAGACAAGAAUGAAUAAGUAAAAAAGGCUCAUUGCUAUAACAAGGCAAAUAGGAGAGUCAAGGCCUCACAUGGAACUUGAAUGAUGAAAAGGAGGCCAAUUCCCUCUUUUGAUUAUCCAUUUUUGUAAACUGUCACCUGGCUUUGUCACUAGGAAACAAGAAGGCAAAACAACUACACACUUUGCUGUCCGAGCAUGAACUGAAUAACAUGCAGUGACCAGCCACCAACAGACUCUGAAAGAAGUGACCUUCUUGGUCACUGCCCGUGGGACACGUCUGUUAUUCCGUGGUGAUUUGUGGACUGAAGAGCUAACAGUGAAGGCCGUACUCAGGAAAAGGGAAAUUUAAACACAGACACGCAAGAGACAAGAAGGCCAUGUAAAGACAGAGGCAGAGAUUGGAACGAUGCAUCUACAAGCUAAAGAAUAGCAAGGAUUCCCAGAAGCCACCAGAAGCCAUGGAGAGAGGAAUGGAACAGCUCUUUCUCUGGAACCUCCGAGGGAGCAUGGCCCUGUCAACACCUUGAGUUUGGAUUUACAGCCUCCAGAACUGUGAGAGAAGAAGAUGUUUUUCAAGCCACCAUGUUCCUGGUGCUUUGGACAGCAGCCUUGGGAAAUUAAUACAGUAACUAUUUAAAUGAACUCUCUGGGAAUAUUUACUAUUUAAAAAGUAAUAACAAGGCAAUGUUGAAUUCUAGUUGGCUAUUACUUGCUUACUUGUUAAAAUUUUACGUGAAAAAUUCAGUUGCUCUACAGCUGCCCAAUCCCAUAGGCACCAUUGUUAUUAUUCCCAGUGGAUCUUGAACUAUGUUCUUUGAAAGAAUUGCGAAUAUUUG
rnacentral:lncRNA from 1 species